rnacentral:lncRNA from 1 species
AGAGGUUACGAAACCAACCAAGCAAGGCAAGUCGGCCAUCAGGCUCAGCCUCCCAUGAAGCGCUCCUGACUUCCCACCCUUCCUCCAGGCCAGGAGUCUGCCAAUCACAAUCUGGGUUCUGUUUUCCCGCCUUUCCUGGCAGCACAAACCACGGCUCCGGAUGGUGAGCAAUGCAAGUUCCAGGCAUGCCUUGCUGCAUUACUGGGUUCCCAGGUGUCACUUCAUCCAGAGGAGCCCCUCUAGAGAUCCCACCACUCCGCCCUCUUGGAAAGAACAUUCAGUGUCUCCCACACCAGAACCCAUCCAAGGAGAGAGGAUGCCGAGGUAGUGGCUCAUCUUCCUUGGUCCCAGAGAGGCCUCGGAGCAGUCCUCUCUUGCUUCACAGCCCUCCAACUAUGCUAAGAAUGCGAACCAUUUCCCAUGGGACUGGCAAAGCCAUGAAGCAAUUCUGAGCCCAACCUCCCCAAAUAUCUGCUUUGCAAACAGAUAAAACAGAGAAGUAUCCUGAAAAUGUGCUGUUGGGCCAUUCACCUUAGGCGGUUGUGGUGUCUGCUUGCCUGCCAGGAGGGUUUCUGCUUCCACAGUCCAGCCUGGAGCUGCUGGGGAGCCAGUUUGGGAUGUGGCCAUGUUCCCUGAGGGGCAAAACACAGAAAACUCUCCGGAAGGGGCUUCUCAAGGAAAUGGGGACCAAGCAAGGCUGUGGGCUCUUUUCAGGGAUCCGGCUCCCAUCCCAGUGCUGGACUCAUUGCUGACCAGUCCUUGGGGUCACCUGGGUGCCCUUUGGCUCCUGAGAUGUCUGGGCAUGGGGCUGCCUUCACCAGCUGCAAGAGCCCAAACCCACCUCAACCAGCCUUUGGCAUCUCCAGUCUGCACCAGCUGCAAUUUUGUGGCCCGGGUGGGUGAAGGCAGUGGCAGGGGAGUCCAUGCCAAGCCUGGCAGUGGGAAGGAAGAGGAAGAGGAAGAGGACUUAACUUUCUCAGCAGCUUCAGCCUUCUGAGAAACUCUAGAAUGCCUUGCUGCACUAUGGCAGGCAUAACCAGGUCCCGGUGACCUACAUAACCUUCCAGACAUGGGGCAAGUGGGAGCCCUGAUUCAUGUCAGGGGAGCCUGACAGAGGAAGGGUGGGGGCAGGGAGGAUUUACAAUCCUGAGACGGUGAAACCACCUAAAUAUUUAGUGAUGACUAAGUGAGUCACCGCAUGUCCACAGGGUGGAAUAUUAUGUAAAAGUGAUUAUUAUAAUAAUAAAGACUAUUUAGCAAUA